rnacentral:rRNA from 1 species
CGAGGGUGCAAGCGUUAUCCGGAUUCACUGGGUUUAAAGGGUGCGUAGGCGGGCAGGUAAGUCAGUGGUGAAAUCCUAGAGCUUAACUCUAGAACUGCCAUUGAUACUAUCUGUCUUGAAUAUUGUGGAGGUAAGCGGAAUAUGUCAUGUAGCGGUGAAAUGCUUAGAUAUGACAUAGAACACCUAUUGCGAAGGCAGCUUACUACGCAUAUAUUGACGCUGAGGCACGAAAGCGUGGGGAUCAAACAGGAUUAGAUACCCUGGUAGUCCACGCCCUAAACGAUGAUUACUCGACAUUAGCGAUACACAGUUAGUGUCUGAGCGAAAGCAUUAAGUAAUCCACCUGGGAAGUACGACCGCAAGGUUG